GNNNUGCGCAUGGGGGAACCCUGANCAGCGACGCCGCGUGCGGGAUGAAGGCCUUCGGGUUGUAAACCGCUUUUGAUUGGGAGCAAGCUUUUUGGUGGAUGGUCCUUUCCAAUUAACCCCGGGUAACUUCCUGGCAACCGCCGCGGUAAUACC
rnacentral:rRNA from 1 species